CCGUCUGCUCUGGGCGUCUGCUUUCAAUUGCGAUCACUCUGUCAUCACGUUGUGUGAUGCUGCAACUGGUAUUAUUCACAUUGUUUAUGUUAUGUACUGGGGCUAACUAGUUAAACUACGAUGGACACUUAAGUUAACUGAGCUUUAUGACAUUUUAAAAAAUCAAAAUGUGGACCUAUCGAGAAUGAGCAUUGAACUAUUGCGAGCUCCAGUUCGUCGCUCGAAAAAUGCACCAUGAGGUUUUUUUCAGUGUUUGGUUUACGUGGAGGUGUCAGUCUACAUUUAGAUUAAUGAAGCUGGUGGCAAGCAGGAUAUCGUUGGAUAAUCCAGAUAGCUGUUUGACAGACCCCAUUUUCGUUUCUUGCGUGGCCAUCUUGCCAUGUAACCUUGCUAAGAAGAUUCUCAUGGUUUCUGCUGAAUCUGAAAAGAAUGAGAUAGCAUUUGUUAACUUGUGAGGAAUUCUCCAAUGUAGCACCAGGGGUGUAUUAUACUACCUAACUGUUUGGUCAUGAUUGUGGUGUAGUGUUGGCAGUGCUCAUGCCAACACUAUCUUUCAUGCCAAAUGUUGAUCAAAGGCCUCUCACCCAAUCAUUCGUUUGACAGGAAUAUAAUCAAUAUUUGUAUGCUACCAUGGAUGGCCUACAGAGCAAGAAGGAAAGAAAAGGUAAUAGUUUGAAACUUUUGUGUUUAAUACAGUAGAAAAUUUGAAACACUCUUUAGGCUGCGAUGGAGGAAUCCAUAUCCCUUCUAAAAAUAGAAGUUUGUGACAAUUUUAACAGAAGAAGACAACGUAAACUAAUUGGUGUGCAAUGCAAAAUUGUAUAGAUUAAAAAGGAAAAAAAGAUUAAUGCUUCCUAUAUAAAUUCAGGCUGUAGUUUUAGAUCUGGAUGGUUUUCUGAUUUCUUCAGUUAGAAUGAAAGAGGUUGUCUUAGACAGCACUGCAAUUCACCCAAAUUAAGUGAGUGAUCCUUAUAUUUAGUAACUUAUGUAAGUUGUUUACCCUAACAUUGGACUGUGCAGCAGAAGCAACUGGCAGAAACUGUUGUGAUCAUGUGUAAUAUGUAUUUGUUCAGAAAGAUGAGAAAAAAAGUAUCACACUUUGUGAAUAGGGAUUUCAUCUGCUGUGACUGAUAAAGAAUCUUUAGUGAAAUUUCAUUGUGACAUUGUUAGGAUGUUAGUCAUUCAAUCUCUUAUUGCAGUCCAUUUGGUAGCUAAAUCCCGUUCACAAAGGAAGGCAAAUUACCUGAACUUGCACGUCAAACGAAUUACAAAUGGCGUUCAGCAGUUUCGCCAUGAGGACAGGGGCUGCUCGCCGUGAAAGGGGAACUAAUUCUGGAGAAUACGAUCGAAUUUAUCGCUGCAAUGUUUUCCUCCUAAAUUAUUUUGAUAUGCUAUUGGUGUCUAAUUGGGAGUAUAUCCGUUCCUUUUAUAUCCAUCAAUGCAUCCAGGUUAGUUGUAUAAAAAACAAACUAGUUAUAUUAUAAUAAAAAACUUAAAAUAUAUAUAAUUUCAUAUGGCAAUCUUUUGAAAGUUUAAGAACGAAUCGUCUUGCAAUAUUUUAUUAUUUGUUUUAAAAGAAUAUUUAAAGCAAACAAUUCAGAAAACAAGUCUAACUAACCGUUUUAUUUGGUCUCUAGUUCGAAAUAUGUCGAUAUCUCGUCGAGCGAUCCAAUAAUUUGUCGUGAAUUCAUUUUAGCUUCGGUAGAUUAAAUUCGGAUCUGCUAUAUUAAGUAGAUGUUGGUCUUUCUGUUAAAAUUCAACCUUUUUCAUUUAUUUGUCUGUUUUACAUUUUCUUACCCUUUUCAUUCAUUUCUCAUUGGUAAAGAAUUAGAAGAAGAAUCGCAGGACACCAAGAUUGACAGGAAGACGCCAGGGAUCAUAAACCAAUGACUAGACAACCACGUUGUUAAUCAUCGUUCCUUCGUGAUAAAAUGUUUCCCCGCUCCCUCCCUUCAGUGGUAAUUGCACAUAAAGAAAACAUGUAGAGAAUAGUCAAAUGUAUAUUACAGCAUCAAACAACAUCUAAUGACGUUGAUCUCGCUAACUGUUUAACAUCUUUUCCUUGCUUGUUUUAAUGUAAUAUCACAAUUAACAUUCCACCAUGGCUAUAUCCAACAGUUAAUGACAACAAAUUUUACAAAGUUGUAAUUCAGUCCAUAUUGAAACCUAAACAAGCAGAUUAACAUGCUACACCAAAGAUGAAAGGGAACUUCUUCUCUGUGCCAUACUAACCAGUCUGCAAUAACAAAGGACCGCAUUUUCGGGAUUCGCACACAAUUUGGGGUAGAGUUCGUGUGUUAGGAGUAUAUACCAAAAAGUUUGCAUAUUUGGCCAAAAUUCAGUAUUUUUAUUUUGUUAACAAACAUUCCCAAAUUUUAUGGAGAUUACAAGUCUCUGAUGAGUAUCGUUGUGUGCUUUGUAGUUCUGAAGUUCUUCGUUACUUCCUGUACACUUCCGUAAAUACAAUUCCGUGUAUAAAAGGCAGUAAGGCACCCUGAGUUAAAAAUCAAGUCGAUCAUAUACGAGUGUGUUCCAUAUUCCAGAAUGCCUAUAGUAUAAGGUUUUUAAAACCUUUGUUGCUUCGCAUUAAAACCUCAAAGAUUGAACGCUACCGUCGUCUGUCAUGUCCGCCAUUAGCUACGUAGACAUGUAAACAUUUUCGCUCUGUUGUUUUUUCAAGUUUUUCCCUUGUUUUGUGCAUCUAUACCAACGAGGUCAAUAAAAAAGAAAGUCCUGAUAGCCGCCUCAUCGUCGCCUUUGUCUUCGCCUUUGCCUUGGCCAUCGUCUCAUCGUCAUCUUCACCUUUGCCUUGGCCAUCGUCUCAUCGCCGUCUUUGCCUUUGCCUUCUCCAUCGUCUCAUCGCCGUCUUCACCUUUGCCUUCUCCAUCAUCUCAUCGCCGUCUUCGCCUUUGCCUUCUCCAUCAUCUCAUCGCCGUCUUCGCCUUUGCCUUCUCCAUCAUCUCAUCGCCGUCUUCGCCUUUGCCUUCUCCAUCGUCUCAUCGCCGUCUUCGCCAUUGCCGCCGUCUUCGCCUUUACCUUCGCCAUUGCCCUAGCGCCGUCUUCGCAUUCGCCCUUCACGGAAAAGUCCAUCGAAAAAGGAUGCAGCUCAGCAGACAGCCUACGGCGAUGGAAGGAGUUCAUCGUGGAUCGUCGGCUUGGUAUUAUUUUGUUUUGUGUAGUGUUAUAUUUAAGUUAACCCGUUGGCUGCCACCCCGUUUGCGUCCCAUUUUUUUUGUAGCUUGUAGGGACCGGGCGCUGUUCUGCCCCAUGGCCAUGGGGGGAACAGUCGCCGCGCCUUUAGGCGCCGUAGGCAAUGCACCAGUAGGGACUUCUCUUUGUCGGCGCGGUGAUAGAUUUCCAGGGGUGUGCAUUCCCGGAAUGGUUUCUAUCACCGUGCCAGCCCGGACUUGUCUUCGGACAAGUCCCAUCUUGUUCGCGAUCCUUCUGACGUGAUGCGUAGCUAUAGUAGUUUAAGCAACCUACGGGUUGCAUGGCCUGGCAGCCAACGGGUUAACUUGUUAAUUGUAUAUGUAUGUAUAUGUAUGCAUAUUUGUAUGAAUUUGUGUAUGUAAUUAUGUAUUUGUAAGUUAU
rnacentral:lncRNA from 1 species